rnacentral:rRNA from 1 species
CCUACGGGAGGCAGCAGUGGGGAAUAUUGGGCAAUGGGCGCAAGCCUGACCCAGCAACGCCGCGUGAAGGAAGAAGGCUUUCGGGUUGUAAACUUCUUUUCUCAGGGACGAAGCAAGUGACGGUACCUGAGGAAUAAGCCACGGCUCACUACGAGCCAGCAGCCGCGGUAAUACGUAGGUGGCAAGCGUUAUCAGGAUUUACUGGGUGUAAAGGGCGUGUAGGCGGGACUGCAAGUCAGAUGUGAAAACCAUGGGCUCAACCUAUGGCCUGCUGUUGAAACUGUAGUGCUUGAGUACUGGAGAGGCAGACGGAAUGCCUAGUGUAGCGGUGAAAUGCGUAGAUAUUAGGAGGAACACCAGUGGCGAAGGCGGUCUGCUGGACAGCAACUGACGCUGAGGCGCGAAAGCGUGGGGAGCAAACAGGAUUAGAUACCCUUGUAGUC